GACAGAGGUGCCGAGCGUUAGGCGGAAUCACUGGGCUUAAAGCGUGUGUAGGCGGAUCGUUAAGUACCUUGUGAAAUCCCACGGCUUAACCGUGGAACUGCUGGGUAUACUGGCGAUCUUGAGCCACCUAGGGGCAACCGGAACAAAUGGUGGAGCGGUGAAAUGCGUAGAUAUCUGGAGGAACACCGGUGGCGAAGGCGGCAUCCUGGACCAAUAUUGACGCUGAGGAGCGAAAGCCAGGGGAGCAAACGGG
rnacentral:rRNA from 1 species